rnacentral:lncRNA from 1 species
GCGUUGAGGUUGAGCAAACAGAGUGCAUGUUGUCUAAAUAGGCGGGAGAUUGAGCUCACAACGUCAAUAAACAAUCAAAGAUGAAGGAAUUCGCAUUGAAGAAUAACCGAUUCUAGAAUCAAGUGGAAUUGAUUCUACCAAGACGUUACACGAACACGUAACCGAUUAUGGCGCAGCGCGUAACCAAUUCCCUCUCCUGUAAUAUAUGUUCCCCAUCCACACC